rnacentral:rRNA from 1 species
GGGGAAUAUUGGACAAUGGGCGAAAGCCUGAUCCAGCAAUACCGCGUGUGUGAAGAAGGCCUUAGGGUUGUAAAGCACUUUCAAUUGGGAGGAAAACCUACCGGUCAAUACCCGGUAGCUUGACAUUACCUUUAGAAGAAGCACCGGCUAACUCCGUGCCAGCAGCCGCGGUAAUACGGAGGGUGCGAGCGUUAAUCGGAAUUACUGGGCGUAAAGCGUGCGUAGGCGGUUCGUUAAGUCAGAUGUGAAAGCCCUGGGCUCAACCUGGGAACGGCAUUUGAAACUGGCGGACUAGAGUUUAGUAGAGGGGAGUGGAAUUCUCGGUGUAGCAGUGAAAUGCGUAGAUAUCGAGAGGAACACCAGUGGCGAAGGCGAGUCUCUGGACGAUUCCUGACGCUGAGGCACGAAAGCUAGGGGAGCAAACA